rnacentral:lncRNA from 1 species
UGCCCUACUUCUCUCUGCCACAUGAACAAAAAAAGUUACCUCUGUUUGCGUGUAGUAGCAGAGUAGCAUAAGGAGCGAAAUAAUGCUACUAUGUCCCAUAAGUCAGGCGGGGUUUACAGAAUUACAAACAGUAUGUAUAUGAGUAUUAUAAUUUUUUUUAUGUGAUAAUAAUAUUAUUAAUAUAUAAUACUUAUUUUUAUAUUGGAGUAAUAUGUAUAGUCUGUAAAUGGUUAUGAAAACCUUUUUCUUUUUUCUUUUUUUCACUUUCACGGUUUCAUAAUUUCUUCAUGUGGGAUAUAUUUUGGUCAUUGAAUGAGAAAGAGACGGUAUAUAUAUAUAUAUAUAUAUAUAUAUAUAUAUGUUUUCCUUAUCAUCACCUCCUACUUCUAGAGAAAGAAAGGAAGGCAAGCUUUAAUUAUGUGAAGGAGGGAGUUUGAUUUUUCCUUUUCGAGUUGAAUUCAUACAGCUUUUGCGUGACACACAUCAUAGAUAAACCCUAUAGCAAGUAAAAAAAAGCUAUAUAUAUAUAUAUAUAUAUAUAUAUAAAUAUAUGCGCUACAGUUCCCUUUUGGAUUUCUUCCCUUUUUGUGUCUUAUAAAGUUGGUUUUCUUUCAGUUUUGCAUUAUUCGGUCGGUGUGAAUCCAGAGUGAAAUUUGUUUGAUUUUUCCAAUAACAUACGAAUAUUGUCCUCUCUUUUUUCUCUCCUGCCUUCACACUCUGAAAACAACCUCCAAAGAUUCUUGCAAACUAGGAUCAGAGGUAUUUCCGACAUUUGUUCAUUGUUUCUUAGCUUUAUUAGUGUUAUAUAUGUAUAAUUUGGAAAAUUCAAGUGACGGAAUUCAGUUUCCAAUUCCAAUUCUACGGUUUUAAUUUUGAGUUUGGA